rnacentral:rRNA from 1 species
GAACGCUGGCGGCGCGCCUAACACAUGCAAGUCGAACGAGAGAUGAGGAGCUUGCUCUUCAAAUCGAGUGGCGAACGGGUGAGUAACGCGUGAGGAACCUGCCUCAAAGAGGGGGACAACAGUUGGAAACGACUGCUAAUACCGCAUAAGCCCACGGCUCGGCAUCGAGCAGAGGGAAAAGGAGUGAUCCGCUUUGAGAUGGCCUCGCGUCCGAUUAGCUAGUUGGUGAGGUAACGGCCCACCAAGGCAACGAUCGGUAGCCGGACUGAGAGGUUGAACGGCCACAUUGGGACUGAGACACGGCCCAGACUCCUACGGGAGGCAGCAGUGGGGAAUAUUGCACAAUGGGGGAAACCCUGAUGCAGCAACGCCGCGUGAAGGAUGACGGUUUUCGGAUUGUAAACUUCUUUUCUUAGUGACGAAGACAGUGACGGUAGCUAAGGAAUAAGCAUCGGCUAACUACGUG